rnacentral:rRNA from 1 species
GAAAAGAAACCAACAGGGAUUGCCUUAGUAGCGGCGAGUGAAGCGGCAAUAGCUCAAAUUUGAAAUCUGGCGCCUUCGGCGUCCGAGUUGUAAUUUGAAGAAGGUAUCUUUGGUUUUGGCUCUUGUCUAUGUUCCUUGGAACAGGACGUCACAGAGGGUGAGAAUCCCGUGCGAUGAGAUGCCCAAUUCCAUGUAAAGUUCCUUCGACGAGUCGAGUUGUUUGGGAAUGCAGCUCUAAGUGGGUGGUAAAUUCCAUCUAAAGCUAAAUAUUGGCGAGAGACCGAUAGCGAACAAGUACUGUGAAGGAAAGAUGAAAAGAACUUUGAAAAGAGAGUGAAAAAGUACGUGAAAUUGUUGAAAGGGAAGGGCUUGAGGUCAGACUUGGUUUUACCAGGCCAGCAUCAGUUUGGGUGGCAGGAUAAGUGCGUAGGAAAGUGGCUCCACCUCGGUGGCGUGUUAUAGCCUGCGUCGAUACUGCCUGCCUAGACUGAGGACUGCGUCUUUGACUAGGAUGCUGGCAUAAUGACCUUAAGCCGCCCGUCUUGAAACACGGACCAAGGAGUCUAACGUCUAUGCGAGUGUUUGGGUGUAAAACCCGUACGCGUAAUGAAAGUGAACGUAGGUGAGAGCCCUUAAGGGUGCAUCAUCGACCGAUCCUGAUGUCUUCGGAUGGAUUUGAGUAAGAGCAUAGC